GGGUUUUCCAUCAAGCCACUAGCAGUCUUCCGAGGGAUCGCCAGCCUAGCAUGGAGCAUCCGGGUCGAAUCCAUCGUCUUCCUAGUACUCCACUUCUUCUCCAGCUUCUGAGCAGCGGCGGGGAAAACAUAGCAGGAGUUGAAAGGAAAAACAGUGAGUACAUCGAAAUGUGCUCCGUGAGUGUGGGAAUUAUAUGACAUGAGGCCAAAACAAAGAAAGGUUUACUCUGGUUAUAAAGCACCUAAGCAACUCAUCCAAAACCUUAAUUACCUUAGCACCUAUUUACUAGAUGUGGUUACCAACACCAUAAGCUCCAAACCACCAAGCCAACCCCUCUACUAGUUGCUUUUCCAAUCUCCACACUAUAGCCCUAGCACCGCCGCUGCCCAAUCCCCAAGCACUAGCACCACCGCCCCCCACCACUCAGCUCCCGAGCAUAUGCGACAGAAGAAGCUCGUGACAUCAAGGAUAGGGAGGAAGACUGCUGUUGUCAAGCCUGCCGAGGGGGAGAAGAAGAAGAAAGGAUCUAGCAAGGAAAAAUAUCUCCAGUUGCCGGCACCCAAGUACGGGAAAACCAAUCAGACCGCGCCACCAACUCUCGCUUGCGCUUGGAAGCGAUCAUCCUUGAAAGAGGAGGAGAUCAAGGAGCUUGUGGCUGCCAAGCUACUCCAAAAUCAAGACAUCAUCAGUUGGAGACCCACCCACGACAAUCCGUGGCCAUUGGAGGAAGACUCCAAUGAAACGAUAAUUUUUGCUCACUUCAUCGAGCGCAGUCUUGCACUAUAAACUGGAGCUAUUUCAUCUAAACCCCUAUGGAAUUCUCCACGCUAUCAUUUUUGUUCACCUCUGCAAAGCUUUUCUGGGAAUCAAGCCCCACUUCCAGUUAUUCUAAAAAAUUUUCCAUGUAAAGCCGCAACCGAUGAGGGAUCAUACUCAAGUAGUCGGAGGAGCCAGUAUGCAGAUGCGGGAGAAACUCGGCAGCUAAUAUCUGACGUAUGAGCUGAUAGAUUCCAAUGCUAGGUGGAAAGAAAAGUGGUGCUACAUAGGCAACCAUGAUCCAAAACUACCCGAGCUGACAGGACAUCGCCCCUCCUGGAACAACCGGUGGCUUGAUGAGCCAACACAUGGGGAUUGCCUCCAACUACCUGAGCUCAGUGAUAGAAUAGCCAAGCUGAAGCAAGAAGGACUCACUGGAGUUGGAGUAGCCUUCAGUUUUAUGAAGCGAUGAAUUCAGCCCUUGCAGCAACGAUGCCACUGGAGCUAUGAGUAUAUUGGUGUCAAUGAUCCAUCCAGACUGUCUCCUGAUGAACUCAGCACAGAUGAAGUUAUAGGGAGACUGAAACGGAUGUUCAAAAAUGUGGGCGAGAUCCCCACUAUUGUGCGAGAAUUCAACGCCGCCAACCCGCCAAAGCCUGUAAGUACUCGUGGUCGUAGCCUCUGAGUACUUAUUUGAAGUUUUUGGGUUUACUAACUUGUCUUUCUUUGCAGGAAGAUGUUAAUUUGUACUUCUCUACUCCUCCUCCUCCCAGAUCAGAAGAUACUUGUGAAGCUGCUUCUCGCGUGCAUACGACGGAGAGCGCUAAGAGUGAUGACGACCAAGAGGAGGAAGUACUCGAAUCCUCCAACGGCACUAGCUCUAAUGUUGCGAAAAACUUUGAAGUUAAGGCCCAGCCAUCUGCUAAGGGCGGGUCAUCCUCUGGAUCGAGGAAGCGCACAGCUGAUGAUGAGCUUGAAGCCGCAAUCCCUCUGCCACCAAAGAAGAAACGGACCAUUGCGGAGAAAUGGGCCAUGAAGAAGUCUAUCACCGCAGAAGAUGUGCCUCCCACAAAAAUUACUUAUGAGGAAGGAUAAGAUCCUGAGGAUCGUGUACUCCUAGUAGGCGAUUCCAAUAUCACAACGUGUCUGCUCGAGAUGACACUGGUGGUUUUCAGGUACUCGAGCCGGCGGUGGAUGCUGAAAAGGCGGGUGCUCUGGCUGCACAAGACAGGUUGCCAGUCAUCGAGGAGGUGAUCAACAUUGAAGAUGAUCCGAAGCCUCCUGUUGCUGUUGAUAGCAACACAUCUGGAUUGGUGGUAGACCCUACCGGUGCAAGAACAACUCGAACAGCAGAGGCGAUGGCUAAUACUAGCAAUGAUCAUGCUGCGACCAUUCAAACUGUGCCAAAGAGACCGUCUCCAACCAUCAAGCCUGCUCAGAUUCCCUAAUCACCAUGUUGCUACCAAAAGAUUACCAACCGGUUCCCAUUUCAUAAACAAUUAAUUAGGUUUAACAUUAUAAGCCCAAGCGCCCAACUGGACUGCAAGCUAAGCAUGAAACUACCCAUAACCAUCCAAUCGGGGUUUCAAGGAAUAUGUUGGAAAUAUCUAGCAAACCCUAACAUGGAAUUCCAAUUUAAGACACAACAUGCAACUAAGUCUAACUACUGUAAUAAAAUAAAAUAAAUAGGAGCAAGAAUGAUCAAGGACACUUGCCUUUAGAAGAAGAGUGUUCGACCGCUUAGAACUCUUGAGCUUGGAGGUUCACGGACAGGUUCACAAACGGGUCGCUUCCUACACGCUCAAACAAUUGGAAACAACACACAGUAAAUAAAAAGAACAGUACACAAAACAGUAAUAAAAUGUAAUGAAAACCAUACUAACAUUUAACACUCGUCGCUAUGAACGUGUGAGCGCAAGAAUUGCUUAAAAUGGAGCUAUGGUUAAAAAGAUAUGAGCAAUUGAAGUUUCAGGAACCUAUACAUAAUUACUUACAGUCGUGAAGGACUUAACAGAAUUAUAGCAAAAGUACAAGGUUUUUUGUGUUAAAGUACAAGGAGCAGGGUUGGAAUAAUAUAAUAAUAAUAACAACACCGUGUUCAGGGCUAAGAUGCAAAAUUAACAUGAGAAAGAAUAAAUCUGCGGUGAUUAUCAACAAGGACAGGGGCUGGAAUGCAAAAGGAAGGUUGACUGGGCUCAGGUGCUGAUGUGUCGCACACGUGGCGCUGACUGGGAUCCAGAUGUGUGUGCUGACUAGGAUCAUGUAGACACGUGGCGUUCUUUGAUUGGUUUGCAAAGGGGUAAGUUGUGAUCUAAUCUGGGCCAUGGAUUUCGGAUCUAAGGGCCGCCACUUCAUCUUCUUGCUCCCGCACGGAGCGACGACGACCAGACACGGCGGCGCCAUGCACGAGCUUGCCGGAGCAUCACCGGAAAACGCUAGAUCGGCCUACGGUGCACGGAAUUCAACGGGAAGCGGAAAAACGGAAAGAGCUAUGGAUGGGUAUCUCACCUAGGGCGUCGUGGAGGGCAGCGGCGGUGCGGUUCGAGCUCGGGACGGAGGGGAUGUCGAGAGGCGAUCUGUUCUUCCCUGAGAUCGAACUGCGGCCACGAAACGACGACGAGACGCUGAGGCGUGAUUUCCUGGCGAUCCUGUGACGCGGGAAAGAGAGAGAUAGAGAUGAGAGGGCGCAAGGAAGGGAAGACAGGGAGGGAAGCGGUAUCUUACUGCUUGGCGUCGAGGAUGCUGGCGGCGGCGGCGGCGGCAGC
rnacentral:lncRNA from 1 species